UUUUUUUUUUAUUUAAAAUUAUUUUAAAACACUUUUUCAAUAAAGAAAUUGAAUAAUUCCACUAAGAAAUGUUGGCAUAGCCCAUGGUUGGUGUUAGGAUUCCACUGUAAUAACUCACUGUUGCUGCUGGAACUAGACACCUUAUGAUAGAAGGUGCAUUUGUAUGUGGGUGAAUGGGGAUUCUUUUGCAAACUGAAAGUACUAAUUGGCCAGUUUGUUAUGAUGUCUUAAAGAACUCCACGAUGAAAUUCCAUAGAACAUAUAUAUUCCUGCCUUGAAAAGUUUGCCUUUCAUAGUUAAUACUGCCGUGAACUUCUCUUGCCAGUAUGAGAAUGUUAGCCUGCAAGUAAACAUAGGGGUGAGGUCGGUGGCCUAUGGCCAGCCAUUUGGACGCUCAAGGUAGACACUUGUUUGAGAGAGAGAGAGUUAUGAAUGUAAGAGCACUGUAGUAAAUUGAGUAGAGUAAGCAUAUCUGACAUCUGGCCUUGGUGUGAUAUAUAUAUAUAUAUAGGUAACUUUGGCGACCAUUGUAAGUGGUUGCGAGUAUCUCAAGAAUGGUCGGUUGUGAUCCUGAGAUUCUUGGUGAGUAUAUCUGUCAUCAGGUGUGUGAUCUUCACUAGUCAGCUAUCUGAGCUAUCUCGCCCAGCUAUCCGAGUGAGGUGGGUUGUUGCUCGGUUAGUUGACUGAGCCAUCUAUUGCUUUGACCAUUGGACCAAGCCACUUGACUCUUUGACCAAACCUCUUGACUCUUUGACCUAGUGAAGCAGAGUGUUUGAGUAUUUGAUCGAGCCAUUUGACUCAGUUUUUUAGGCAGGCUAUAUAAUUGGUGGUUUCAUUCCUUUUUGUUAAAAUAUGCUACCUUUUAAAUAUUGAGAACUUUUUAUAGAUAUUUUUACUGACUAGCCAACAUUUGUGCCAUUUUAGAUGAGUUGCUGGAAAAUUGUAGCCAAGUGUGCUAUUACAAAUAUUUUUUCUGCAUGAACUACUAGUGGUGGUUUCUUUUUUUCUUUGUAGUUUUUUUAAAAUUUUUUUUUUUU
rnacentral:misc_RNA from 1 species